UACGGAGGGUGCAAGCGUUAAUCGGAAUUACUGGGCGUAAAGCGUGCGUAGGCGGUUUGUUUAGUCAGAUGUGAAAUCCCCGGGCUCAACCUGGGAACUGCAUUCGAAACUGCCUGGCUAGAGUUUGAUAGAGGGAAGUGGAAUUCCACAUGUAGCGGUGAAAUGCGUAGAUAUGUGGAGGAACGUCAGUGGCGAAGGCGGCUUCCUGGCUUAAAACUGACACUGUGGCGCGAAAGCGUGGGUAGCAAACAGG
rnacentral:rRNA from 1 species